GAUGAACGCUGGCGGCGUGCCUAAUACAUGCAAGUCGAGCGGACGGACGAGAAGCUUGCUUCUCUGAUGUUAGCGGCGGACGGGUGAGUAACACGUGGAUAACCUACCUAUAAGACUGGGAUAACUUCGGGAAACCGGAGCUAAUACCGGAUGAUAUUUUGAACCGCAUGGUUCAAAAGUGAAAGACGGUCUUGCUGUCACUUAUAGAUGGAUCCGCGCUGCAUUAGCUAGUUGGUAAGGUAACGGCUUACCAAGGCAACGAUGCAUAGCCGACCUGAGAGGGUGAUCGGCCACACUGGAACUGAGACACGGUCCAGACUCCUACGGGAGGCAGCAGUAGGGAAUCUUCCGCAAAGGGCGAAAGCCUGACGGAGCGACGCCGCGUGAGUGAUGAAGGUCUUCGGAUCGUAAAACUCUGUUAUUAGGGAAGAACAUAUGUGUAAGUAACUGUGCACAUCUUGACGGUACCUAAUCAGAAAGCCACGGCUAACUACGUG
rnacentral:rRNA from 1 species